rnacentral:lncRNA from 1 species
AAAAAUUGAAAAAAAAAGAGAGAGAGAAUUUGAAAAAAAUUUGAAAAAAAAUUCGAAGUUUAAAAAAAUUAAAAAAGAAAUUCGAAAAAAAAGGUCAAAAAAGUGAAAAAAAAUCGAGCAAAAAAAAAGAGUUGAAAGUUUGUUACUAUUUUCAUUUAUUCCUACUCCAAUCAUCAAGUUUCCCUUCCUACCAUUAUUUACCCCUCCCAACGCCACACUUUAAACCCAAAUUUUUCUUUGUUCAGCC